GUCCUCGCAUCCACGCUGGUCGGCGAAUCCAUGCACGUCCACCAGGUGGCACUGUGACUGAGAGUGUGUGCCGGCCUCUGAAUCACAUCUGGACCAGAGUUUAAUCACAAGCAAAAUUUCAGCCAGAUUGGAGCAUGUUCAGACUAGUUAUACAGCAUUUCCUGCCCAUCCACCACCAGGUGGCGCUGUAACUCAGAGUGUAUUUCAAACAGUGGAUGUGAUGAGGGUUGGACUCUGAUCAGUCAUGAAAAGUUUCAGGCUGAUUUGACCAUGUAGAGGCCAGUUGUACAGCAUUUACUGUCCAUCCAACAGGUGGCACUGCGACUGAGAGUGUCUGUUGGCCUGUAGAUGUGAUCAGGAUUGAAUUGUGAUCACACAUGGAAAGUUUGAGGCAGAUUGGAGCAUGCAGAGGAGAGUUAUACAGCAGUUGAUGUUUCUUGGCGAAGCAUCAAAACUCUAAUGGUCGCCAUGGCCACGCCAUUUGGAUUCUGGUUAAACUUUUGAUAACUUUUCAUCACCAAGUCCUGCUGUGUGGACUGACAAAAUUUCAGGUCUCCUGGAAUUAUCCCCGAGGAGGUAUUAACUCUCAAAAAUGAGAAAAAUCAUCAAAAAUCUCACAAUUAAUCCAAGAUGGCCGACUUCCUGUUGGGUUUAGGACAUGGCUCCAAGAGGCUUUUUUGUGCGUCCUGAUGUGCUCUAUAAGCCUCCCAAAUUUCAUGGAUGUAGGUGAAAUGUGCUGGGGGGGCUGUUUGUUAAAAAUACUGUAGGGGGCGCUAUAGCAUGUGCAGUGCCGAGAUGCAUACGGUGUCGUUCCUUGGGUCGAUGGUGAUGUGUGUGGUAAUUUUAGUGAGCAUUGGAGUAUUUCUAACCUGUCAAAGAGCACUUUGUUUUGCAUGGCGAUAUUUGGUUGCUACGGCAACAGCGUUGCAUGAAAUGUCACACCCUUGACAAUGUGGGAUUGUCAAGAGGUGAAGACUCGACUGACCAAUUUCCAGCAUGAUAUCACCACGUUUGGGGCCAUUGUACCUGAAAAUAUAAGGCCUUAAACUUACUA